UAAGGAAUUUUCGGCAAUGGGCGCAAGCCUGACCGAGCAACGCCGCGUGGUGGAUGACGGCCUUCGGGUUGUAAACACCUUUUGGGGGGGAAGACAUCGACGGUACCCUCCGAAUCAGGCUCGGCUAACUCCGUG
rnacentral:rRNA from 1 species